AGAGAGAUAUUUUCCAGCUGGUUUUGAGGAAGUGAGCUGCCAUGUACUAGGCCACGUGGCAAGGGCCUGGUUGGGGACCUCCAGGGGUUGAGAGCAUCCUCUGGACAACAUGGAAAAAGAAAAUGAAAAUGGUGACCUCAGCCCUAUAGCUAGAAGGAAUUGAAUCCUGUCAACAACGAUACUCAUCACUCACUGCAGAUGUUACUUUAAGACAUUCUGGAGCAGCGUCAUGUGCAGGAACAAUAAGGAAGUGAGUGCUUUUGUAAUUCCUGAACAACUGUGUCUUACACUUACUAAGUUCUCUUGCCUGCCACCAUGUAAGAUAUGCUUUUACUCUUCCGCCUUCCACCGUGACUGUGAGGCCUCCCCAGCCAUGUGAAACUGCCUUUGAGCUUAUACUGAAUUAUACCACCAGCUUUCCUAGGUCUUGAAGCUUACAGACAGCAGAUCUUGGGACUUCUCAGGCACCAUAAUCAAUCAUAGAUAAAUGAUCCAAUGAUUCGGAACUUGAAAAGUGGUAGCUUUAUGAAUUCUCCUUAAGAAGAAACCUGUGCCCUGAUCUUGCCUACUCACCCAAAGGCACUGUGAGAUAGCAUCAAAGGAACAGCUAGUAAGAGACACAGAGCCAGAAAUCAGGGAAGUAAAAUACACUUGACAUCUACGUUCGGAAAGAAAUUUUAGGAGGCAGAAGCAAAUGGAUCAGAAGCUGCUUAUAUUUUUGCAAGAUUACCAAAGAAACCAUUGGUGGAGAAAGUUCUGUGACCAACUUGUCUGAGUCUAGUAAGAUUGAACGCUCACACACAAGUUUCAUGAAGUGGGUUUGAUACUUACAGAUAAGCAGCAAGGACCAACAGAAGCUGAUGAUCUAUGGUGAACUUUUUCCCAAGGCUCCGGAAAGCUGCCUAAAGUAGAUGGAGUCUUCUCUGUGUGUGCCCCACUGGUCCUGCAGUUGAAGGAUCCGGUAAAGCAGCCUGCCCUUGGUUUUAUACUCCAGAGGAACGUGAUUCGCUGGACUAAAGCAUUGAAGUGCAUCCUGUUUCCGGGGGGCACUGGAACAGAGCCUGGUCUGUUCUAGCCAGUCCCUUUCUAUCUCAGGAUAACAUUCUACAGUUAUUCUUGAGAACUAUAAUCAAAUAAGCAGGGAGAACUGGGAAAGCAGAGGCUCAUUGUGGAACCCUCAAGGAGCAUGGGGUCGUCUUCAUCCCUCAGUUUAUAAAUGGCCAAGGAGAGUAAUGCAACAAAAACUUCUCAGAGUUAAAAGCCAGAGUUCCUAAAGAACCGUGGACAAAGGGUUCUGUCUAGUGGGCAGAAUUCAUCCAGCGAAGGUCUCCUAACUACAGAGGGUCACAUCUGGAUCUGAUGGCACCUACAGAACUUGGACUCUGAGCGACAAUCAGUGACCAGGAAAUUUGGAACCCAGGUUUUCCCAACCUACAUCUACAAAAUGGAAUGGGUCUGAUUCGCAAGUUUUCAGAGAAAGAAGCCAACCUUAAUCAGACUGUGAUAUGAUGAGGAAAUAAAACUUGCUGUGCUAAUCAACUGA
rnacentral:lncRNA from 1 species